UACGGAGGGGGCGAGCGUUAUUCGGAAUUACUGGGCUUAAAGGGUUUGUAGGCGGCCUUGUAAGUCAGGUGUGAAAUCCCUCGGCUCAACCGAGGAAUGGCGCUUGAUACUGCACGGCUUGAGGGAGACAGGGGUAAGCGGAACUGAUGGUGGAGCGGUGAAAUGCGUUGAUAUCAUCAGGAACACCGGUGGCGAAAGCGGCUUACUGGGUCUCUUCUGACGCUGAGGAACGAAAGCUAGGGGAGCGAACGGG
rnacentral:rRNA from 1 species